CUCUAGGGAAAGCAUGUGACCUGAAAGAGGCAGUGAGACCAGAGAGACCUGGGUUCUCUUCCACUCUGUCAACUUCUGCUCUGCUCUGGAGUGUUCUCUUCCUCCGUCUCCCAGUGCAGCCCUGGACCAAGUUGCUUUGGGGGAGAGAAAAGAUGGAGUCUGGGUCCAAAAUCUGGGCUCAAGUAGGAAGGAGAGGAGAGAACAACUACACAGCUUGAAAAGUGAAGGAUACGUUCAAAGACCCUGGAAAAGGGGUGGUGAGUCAGAGACAAUGGAAGCCUUUCCCACAAUUCCCAGGCUGCGCAGCUGGCAGAGAGGAUGCUGGGUUUCCCCAUCAGGGGAUCCAGACAUCUUUAGCAGAACGUCAAGCGAAAGGAAGAGCUGACCCUUGCCCUCCCCAUCACCAAGCACACAUCCUGGGAGCUGACAGUAUUGCUAAAGAAGCCUAUGGUUUUAGAAUUCUGCAGACUCAGUGAGAUAGUGGUUUCUUUGAAGCAACGUGACAUUGGUGCGUACUAAAGCUGAGAAAACAACCCCAGGCAAGUGAAUGGGCACAGUUGCCUGAGUGCCCAGAUGCUGCAAACCAAGUUCUUUAAUGGAAGACAUCAGCUCAAGUAUUGACAUACAGUGAGGGCCUAGCCAGCACUGGACAGUCACCAGAAGGUUUGCCAGCUCUUCACUGAAUGAACAAAUGAGUUAUCCACUUAGUCACUCUGUAACUCUGGACUCUGUUCUGUGCUUUCCAUAAAACAGGUAUGGCUGAGCUACUCCGUGGUGCCUGCACACAGCCUGUUCCCAGCUCUAGCUGCAAAUGCCCUGGGACUUCGCACUGUGUCUUCCAUCUGAGCUUCAUGGAACUCUAGCUUCACCCCUGCCAACUCAGUUUCAGCUUCUGGCCCUGCUGCUGCUGCUCCAUGCCCAGUGCUGGGGACAUCCCUGGGUGGGGUGGGGUGAGGUCAUGGCUGCCUCCUAUCUCACAACGAAAGUGGUUUGUAUCUCACUUGGAUAGAAAUGGAACUUGAGCUGAGUUUACAUCCCACUAAGGCAUUGAAGAGCUCAAAGAAUGUUUUUCUCAGCACACGGAGGUCUAAAUAGCAUGUACUGUAUGGGUAGCUGUGCCCUCUAUCCUAAGGCCCCUCCCCACUGUCCCUCCAGCUCCAGCAUUUUGUCUUCAUGGCACAUGACAGACACCUUUUCCCACUGUGACAUGCAUCUCUCAGGAGCCUCUUGUCCUUCCCUACAUAGGAGCAUAGUCUUCUCUGCCCAUCAGAUGGGUUUAGAAAAAUGAUCUUUAUCUGGAAAGAACAUUGAAGCUGUACUACCCAGCCCAGGUUCCUUGGCCUCCUUACAAGUGUGCUGAUUCCAGUAGGAAUUUGCAGACAGGAGCCUGUCAAUUGGAUUCAAAGGCAAGUUGCCCUAGACCUCAACUGUAGUUUCCUAAGCCUUUAUCUGCUGAAGGCUUUUGUUCCUGGCAGACUGGGCUAACUCAUUGUGGCCAGGACACACCAGACCAUGAGCAUCUGGCUGGAUCCCAGAACAUGGAGAGUUCCUGUGGGACAGAAUCAGAGUCGCUGGCCUCAUGUCUUCCCUGGCUCAGAAAGUGACGGCAAUGGGAAACACUUCAUCAGCCGUAGUUUUAAGUGAAAAUCCUAGCAUCAGCAAUUGACUGGGUGUUCCUUCUGGCUUGAGAGUUCCCCGUGCAUGCUCACUUGUUUCUGAGGCUCAAGAAAGAUUUCUGCCAAGUGCCCCAUCUCCAUCAGGUGUCCCAUCAGGCUGGAGAUCCAUGCUGCUCCUCUCUAGGGUAUGUGUGGGGUAAGUGGAGGGGGGCUCAUAGUUCCACAAAGAGAUUAGGAUGUACAUGAAAGUGAGCAUGCCAAGGCUGAGCAGAUCAGUGUAGGAUGCAGGUACAGCUUAUAAAGUACCUUCAAUGUAAAGUUAACAGCUUGUUCCUGAAAGCAUGCAAGCCACUGGCAGAUGGGAAGAUGAGAGCAGCUGGAAGUUGGCUAGUGUGUGCUUUAUGAGACAUAGUGGCAGGACGGGGAGGGAGUACUGCUGGGACAGGAAUGAAAGCAUUCUGGGAACUUCAGGAUCAUAUAUAUAUAUAUAUAUAUAUAUAUAUAUAUAUAUAUAUACACACACACACACACACACACACACACACACACACACACUCAUACACAAUGAUGCCUAUUGGGCAGGUCAUCACUGGAUUUGUCAGGAAACACUCUGCCCUGCAUCAUGUGAAGACUUACAGUCUAUCUGGGGUUGGGUGGAGAAGGCAGAAAAGCCAAACAAGCAGAUGUGAGUAUCUGCUGGUAUUGGGAGCUGGCAGGGUGGGGUGGGGAGAGCAGAAGAAAGGGGUGGUAAGGAAAGAGCUGUCUGACAAGGUGACAUGUUGGCAGACCUAAGAGAGAGAGAGAGAGAGAGAGAGAGAGAGAGAGAGAUUAGAGCUGAAAGUGUCCGGGCGUACACAGGUGGAGCAGAGUGUCUGAGGGGAGCUACAAGUGGGGCUGAGCUGAUAGCAAAAGGAGCACUACCAUGGACCGAGGAGGUGGGUAGUGAGCCCCUAGGAGCUCUACCAGGAAAGGACAAGGGGCAGGGAAGGAAAUAAGGAUUCAAACUGGGCAUGUCAGAGAAACGAUAUCUUUGUCGGAUGCAGAGACCCACUUGGCUAGUGUGCAAUCCAUUCUCUGAUCUAGGAAGGCAUUUCCCUUGUUGGCUGCUGCUUUCCUUCUAUGCCUUUGCCAUUGUGCUGGGCCAUGCUCCACCUAUGGCUCCCAUGCUGACCAUAACUGCUAUUUCUCCUGCUAGAAAAAUGCCUCCAAAAACAUGGUAAGUAUAUCACAAGAUCUGAGUGAGCCCUGCUAAAAACUGAAUCUAGAUGCUGGAGAGAGCAGGAAUGUGGUAGGUCCAGGGAAGUGGUUUUUUCAGCCCACACAGUACAGGUGGGAAGGGAAAUUUUGUCAGAGAGACAGCUGGAGAAAGUCAGCUGUGUCUAAAGGCUCUGUGCACAGUCCUGUCCUGGCAUUCAAGCUACUUUUCUAUGGUUCCUCAGAUGAGAGGUCCUGGGAGGCGAAAAAGCAUCCUCACUUGGCUGGGAGGCAUCCAGCAGAGCACAUGGCAAGACUUUAAUUACCUGAGGAGGAGGAACUUCACCUGUUAAUAGGUUUAUUUUUUUCUCCCGUGUUCCCCUAUGUUCACCACCACCUUCCUUCAUGUUUCCUGGCUGAGAAUCCACUUGAGCACAAAAAUAGGGUACCCCACCUUUUACUCUGAGAUCUAUGCCUUGAAACCGAGCCAGUCACAUUCUUAGGGGACGGGGCACCAGAGGCUUCACCAUGAGCAAAGUCUGCACUCUGUUCAGAUCAUCAGAAGUGAGAGAUUGUAGGGUUGCCUCCUGUAGCCAGGUUUACCCUGGAGACUGGGAGACUCUCCCAUUAGUAAAAUUAUUAGACCAGGAUUUUUAGCAACUGAACACGAGUGGUCAUUUUUAUCCUGACCCCCAAUCCCAUUUUAUGUUGACUUUUGAUUCCAGGAUAAGCACUUGCCUUCUGCUAUCUCUAGCAUGUAUGCUGGCUGAAGGCAGCCAACAUUGAUUCCUGUACUGGCAACCAGAAGAGCCCAACUCCCUCACCCGAUAAGGACAGUCUGACUUCUGCAUGGACUUCUGUACUGUUCCACAGCCACUCCUGUGUGCAUUGGACUCAUUGUCUUUCAUGCUUAACAUGUCGUAAAAACAGAGGAAGUGAUUCUCUGACUCAUUCUGUAUCCCAGGGAAGGACCCCAGGGUCACCUGGAUGACCUGGGAGGAUUCAUGAUGAUGAGGCAGAGGGUGUGGACCACAGGGCGAUGCCCACAGCUACUCAGAUAUCUAUAAGGGUGUGCUGGAAUCCACAUCAGAACCAAGAUGGGAGCAAAAUCAAAUAAACUGAGAAAGUUAAAGGCAGUCUUCCUCCUCCUUUGGGGUUAAAAAUGAGGCUCUGUAUUCUGAAUCUGCAGUGGCCUCCACAGAUACCUCCUGCCAUCUCGUGACUAUGUCACCUGCACUGCCCUCCCCUCACCGAGCAUUCUCGACAGUGAGUCUGAUGGCUUUUCAUCCUUCUAAAAUGUCAGUACCACAGGAGGGAUUCAUGUGGCUCCCAAAUGAUUCCCAGCCUCAUCCCUCAAAACCUGUCAUCCUCUGCUCCCUAGAGUGGACUCACCUAGACCUACCUAUACAGAUGUCCCAUCAGCUACCAAGGCCUUCUGUGCACAUGGUCUGUGCCUGAGUUGUCAGAAUUGCCAAGGGGGGCCUGAAGUCAUUGCUUCCUUGGAAGAAGGCACAAGAACUGAAAGCUUCCCUCUGCACUCCCAUCCUAUAUAGCAUUUGCCUUUUGUUUCUGUUAUUAUGGGAUAUUAUUGCAUAAGAUGUCCAUGCUGCUAAGUGGGCUACUAAAGGGCUAAAGGUCUUAUUUUCUCUCUCUCUCUCCUCCCAUCUCUCUGUCUCUCUCUGUCUCUCUCUGUCUCUCUCUGUCUCUCU